rnacentral:rRNA from 1 species
CCAGCAAUGCCGCGUGUGUGAAGAAGGCCUUCGGGUUGUAAAGCACUUUUGUCCGGAAAGAAAUCCUUGGCUCUAAUACAGUCGGGGGAUGACGGUACCGGAAGAAUAAGCACCGGCUAACUACGUGCCAGCAGCCGCGGUAAUACGUAGGGUGCGAGCGUUAAUCGGAAUUACUGGGCGUAAAGCGUGCGCAGGCGGUUUGCUAAGACCGAUGUGAAAUCCCCGGGCUCAACCUGGGAACUGCAUUGGUGACUGGCAGGCUAGAGUAUGGCAGAGGGGGGUAGAAUUCCACGUGUAGCAGUGAAAUGCGUAGAGAUGUGGAGGAAUACCGAUGGCGAAGGCAGCCCCCUGGGCCAAUACUGACGCUCAUGCACGAAAGCGUGGGGAGCAAACAGGAUUAGAUACCCUGGUAGUCCACGCCCUAAACGAUGUCAACUAGUUGUUGGGGAUUCAUUUCCUUAGUAACGUAGCUAACGCGUGAAGUUGACCGCCUGGGGAGUACGGUCGCAAGAUUAAAACUCAAAGGAAUUGACGGGGACCCGCACAAGCGGUGGAUGAUGUGGAUUAAUUCGAUGCAACGCGAAAAACCUUACCUACCCUUGACAUGGUCGGAAUCCUGCUGAGAGG